rnacentral:rRNA from 1 species
AACGAACGCUGGCGGCAGGCUUAACACAUGCAAGUCGAACGGGUGCAGCAAUGCAUCAGUGGCAGACGGGUGAGUAACACGUGGGAACCUUCCUAGAGGUACGGAACAACUCAGGGAAACUUGAGCUAAUACCGUAUACGCUCUUGCGAGGAAAGAUUUAUCGCCUUUAGACGGGCCCGCGUCGGAUUAGGUAGUUGGUGGGGUAACGGCCUACCAAGCCUACGAUCCGUAGCUGAUCUGAGAGGAUGAUCAGCCACACUGGGACUGAGACACGGCCCAGACUCCUACGGGAGGCAGCAGUGGGGAAUCUUGGACAAUGGGCGCAAGCCUGAUCCAGCCAUGCCGCGUGAGUGAAGAAGGCCUUCGGGUUGUAAAGCUCUUUUGUCAGGGACGAUAAUGACGGUACCUGAAGAAUAAGCCCCGGCAAACUUCGUGCCAGCAGCCGCCGUAA